rnacentral:tRNA from 1 species
AAGAGAAUCACUAGAACUGCUAAUUCUUACUCCCGAUGUUAAUCCCUCGGAUCUCUUA